GUUUGUGUAUGUGUAAGUGCUAGAGUGUGUGUGUUAGUUUUUGUGUCAGUGGGUGUGUUAGUUUGUGUGUCAGUGAGUGUUUUACUGUCUGUGUUAGUUUGUGUGCGUCUGUUAGUGAGUCUCUUUGGUGUCUGUUAGUGAGUGUGUGUUUUGUAAGUGAGUGUGUAUGUGUCUGUCUGUGAGUGUGUAUGUGUGUCUGUCAGUAAAUGUGUGUGUCUGUUAGCUAGUGUGUAUGCGUCUGUUCGUGAGAGUGUGUGUGUCUGUUAGCUAGUGUGUAUGCGUCUGUUUGUGAGAAUAUGUG